AGAACCACCACGAUUAAGGUUCUACAGUUCCAGAAGUGAUCGAACCUGCUCUUCACAGGUGGGGACUGGGGAGUGGGGACCUAUCUUUCAGUACCCUGCACGCUGCAGAGGGAAGGAAGUGUCCUCUCUCUCUCUCUCUCUGUUUCUUCCGUCAGACUCUAUAAAAGGGAGAUCAAAUCCUUCUCAAUUGACUCCAACUCACAGCUCUGCAAUUUUAUGCCAGAAAGUAAAAAAAGAAGAAGAAAAAAAACAGACAUGCCGAUGACGUCUAUUCUUCUUACUGUUCUCAAGGUGUUGAUGAUCUUGAUUUUUGCUAGUUGGGUUUGCCUCUGGCUCCUCAAACCCACAGAACUAUGGACCAAAUCAUGGCACAAGGCCGAAGACAGUGCAAGGAACACGUUUUUUGGAUACAACGGUCUCGAUUUCUCGGUUUAUUCGUUUCCCAUUAUUGCCGUGGCCAUAAUUGGAUUCAUUUACAUGCAUUUGCGUGCUAGGGAGCCAACAAGAAGACAGAAGAGAUUCCCAAUCACCACGCUCUCCAAUCCAGUUAUUGUUCAUAGCCCUCUGGGUAUUAUAUCAACCUGGGAGCUUCUUAUUGCAGCUCUCUUUGUACUCUUUCUGUUAUGGACAAUCUAUGUUCAUAUCUCCAAGGACUUCAAGAAGCUGACACCUCCAAAAUCAUUGAAGUUGGAAGUAUGGCAGAUUAAGUUUAUGAGGGUGGGGAUCAGAUUUGGUUUGCUAGCGGAAGCGUGCCUGGCUUUGUUACUUUUUCCCAUUCUAAGGGGAAUGGCUUUAUUUAGGCUAUUUGGUCUCCAGUUUGAAGCUUCGGUACGAUACCAUGUCUGGUUUGGCACUGCAAUGAUAUUUUUUGCAACAUUACAUGGCUCUAGUAGUUUGUUCAUCUGGGGUGUUAAACAUCGUCUUCAGGAUGAGAUGUGGCUGUGGCAAAAAACAGGGCGGAUAUACCUCGCCGGUGAGAUUGCUCUUGCAACAGGACUAGUGAUCUGGAUCACGUCUCUUCCACAAAUACGAAGGAAGCGGUUUGAACUUUUCUACAACACCCAUCAUUUGUAUGCUGUAUUCUUAGUAUUCUUCUUGUUCCAUGCUGGAGACCGGCAUUUCUACAUGGUGUUCUCUGGGGUUUUUCUUUUUGCACUGGACAAACUUCUCCGAAUCAUACAGUCGCGACCAGAAACUUGUAUUAUUUCUGCUCGCAUCUUCCCUUGCAAAGCUGUAGAACUUAUCCUCUCAAAACACCCCAGAUUGAAGUACACCCCUACAAGUAUUAUAUUUUUGAAGAUACCCAGUAUCUCAAAGUUUCAGUGGCACCCUUUUAGCAUAAUUUCUAGCUCCUGUGUGGAUGAUGACACAAUAUCUAUUAUAAUCAGAUGUGAAGGCCAGUGGACGAGCACUCUCUAUAACACAAUACAUGCUGCAUUAGACUCUGGUGCUGAUCAGGGAAAGUGCCUCCAAGUUGCAAUUGAAGGCCCUUAUGGGCCUGCCUCCACAAACUUCCUAAGAUAUGACAGCCUACUUCUUGUCGCAGGAGGAAUAGGGAUAACCCCAUUUCUAAGUAUUCUUCAGGAAAUUGCUUCUUCUCCAAAGAGCAAAAGGAGCAAAUUUCUGACACAGAUACAACUGAUAUAUGUUGUGAAGAAGUCUCAAGAUAUCAGUCUGUUAAAUCCAAUCUCAUCUGUAAUUUUGAACCAGAAGGCUGAGCAAGGAAACAGUAUAAAACUAAAACUUUUUGUAACUCAAGAAGAAAGAUCUAGUACAACACUAAGAGAAUUUCUGAGUGAGCUCUCUCAGGUUCAGACAGUCAACUUCAAGAGAAAUUACUCGACUCAUGCAGUGUUUGGAUUUGAAAGCUUAGUUUGGAUGGCUUCUGCAGCUGGGUUUUCCUCCAUUAUUUUCCUCAUUUUACUUGGGUGCUUAAGCCGUGCCUUUCUUCAUCAUGAAAGGAAAGCCUCUGAGAAGAACCCAUCAUGGGUUACAGAUCUUCUCCUUAUAUGCUCAUUUUUUAUUGCAGUAUCUUGCACCACUUUGGCCCUGGCUUUUAUGAGAUGGAGAAGAAUGAAGAAAGAAAAUUUUCAGGUCUCCCAGAAUCAACACAAGAGCACUGAAGCGAUUUCCAUUGAAGCAGGGGAUACACUUGAAGAACACGAAAUCCAUUUUGGAAAGAGGCCCAACCUUCAAGACAUACUUGCUCAAUUUCCAACUCAGUCUGGGGGGUCAAAUAUAGGAGUUCUAGUCUGUGGACCCGAAUCAAUGAAAGAGUCGGUGGCAUCGUUCUGCAAGAAAAACUCACAAGGUCCCAAGAUUGAAGCCAAGAGAAGCAAGCCUUACUUCAGUUUCCACUCCCUCAACUUUUCCCUCUAAUUUCACCUUCUUGGUACUUUCUUGGUGUGUGUUCCUGCUGAAGAAUGAUCUACUUCCAUCAAUAGCAUAGAGCUCUAUAGCAUCUUGGGAAAAACCAUGCACUUGAUGGCUUUUAUGGGUUAUUUAACCAAUGAUAAAUUAAUAAUACCCUAUGUCAUUUGUGGUCCAAUGAGGUCGAAAUGGAACAAGACAAUUCACAAAGGAGGUGACGAUUGCUAAAUCCAUUGUUGGAGAUGGAAGAUGAUUAGAGGAUACUCUUUUUUUUUUUUUUUAUUUCCUAAUAAUCUGUGACGGAUGUCAUAAUAUUUUGUUAUACAAAAGAUGUUUGAAGUCCAAAUGACAACAAACCAUCAGCCCUAGUUUC